UAGGAGCCGAUGAAGGACGGGACUAACACCGAUAUGCUUCSGGGGAGCUGUAAGUGAGCUUUGAUCCGGAGAUUUCCGAAUGGGGGGAACCCAUUGUUCGUAAUGGAACAGUAUCCAUACUUGAAUACAUAGAGUAUGGAAGGCAGACCCAGGGAACUGAAACAUCUAAGUACCUGGAGGAAGAGAAAGCAAAUGCGAUUCCCUGAGUAGCGGCGAGCGAAACGGGAUGUAGCCCAAACCAAGAGGCUUGCCUCUUGGGGUUGUAGGACACUCUAUAYGGAGUUACAAAGGAACGGAGUAGACGAAGAAGUCUGGAAAGGCUCGUCAAAGAA
rnacentral:ncRNA from 1 species